UACGAAGGGGGCUAGCGUUGCUCGGAUUGACUGGGCGUAAAGGGCGCGUAGGCGGUGUGUCAAGUCAGGCGUGAAAGCCCCGGGCUCAACCUGGGAACCGCGCUUGAGACUGGCACGCUAGAGUUCGGGAGAGGAUGGUGGAAUUCCCAGUGUAGAGGUGAAAUUCGUAGAUAUUGGGAAGAACACCGAUGGCGAAGGCAGCCAUCUGGACCGACACUGACGCUGAGGCGCGAAAGCGUGGGGAGCAAACAGG
rnacentral:rRNA from 1 species